rnacentral:rRNA from 1 species
GACAGAGGUGCCGAGCGUUAGGCGGAAUCACUGGGCUUAAAGCGUGUGUAGGCGGGCCGUUAAGUGCCCCGUGAAAUCCCCGGCUCAACCGGGGAACGGCGGGGCAUACUGGCGGCCUUGAGCCACUUAAGGGCAGACGGAACAAGCGGUGGAGCGGUGAAAUGCGCAGAUAUCAGGAAGAACACCAAUGGCGAAGGCAGCUCUCUGGGACGGUACUGACGGCUGAGACGCGAAAGCGUGGGGAGC